UUCUCAAUCGUAUAACGGUUAGUAUGCUCGCUUGUCAUUGUUCAAUGUCGCGCGGGAGACCAGGGUUCGAUUCCCUGUUGAGAAG